CCUACGGGAGGCAGCAGUGGGGAAUCUUGCGCAAUGGGCGAAAGCCUGACGCAGCCAUGCCGCGUGAAUGAUGAAGGUCUUAGGAUUGUAAAAUUCUUUCACCGGGGACGAUAAUGACGGUACCCGGAGAAGAAGCCCCGGCUAACUUCGUGCCAGCAGCCGCGGUAAUACGAAGGGGGCUAGCGUUGCUCGGAAUUACUGGGCGUAAAGGGAGCGUAGGCGGAUAGUUUAGUCAGAGGUGAAAGCCCAGGGCUCAACCUUGGAAUUGCCUUUGAUACUGGCUAUCUUGAGUAUGGGAGAGGUUAGCGGAACUCCGAGUGUAGAGGUGAAAUUCGUAGAUAUUCGGAAGAACACCAGUGGCGAAGGCGGCUAACUGGCCCAUUACUGACGCUGAGGCUCGAAAGCGUGGGGAGCAAACAGGAUUAGAUACCCUGGUAGUCCACGCCGUAAACGAUGAGUGCUAGUUGUCGGCAUGCAUGCAUGUCGGUGACGCAGCUAACGACAUUAAGACACUCCGCCGUCGGGGAGGUACGGUCGGCGAAGAAGUUAAAACUUUAAAAGUUAAGUAAGUUAGUUACGGUCGUUGUUAGACGUUGCCGACGGACGACGACGAGGGGAGGUUAGG
rnacentral:rRNA from 1 species